GACGAACGCUGGCGGCGUGCUUAACACAUGCAAGUCGAACGGAAAGGCCCUGCUUUUGUGGGGUGCUCGAGUGGCGAACGGGUGAGUAACACGUGAGUAACCUGCCCUUGACUUUGGGAUAACUUCAGGAAACUGGGGCUAAUACCGGAUAGGAGCUCCUGCUGCAUGGUGGGGGUUGGAAAGUUUCGGCGGUUGGGGAUGGACUCGCGGCUUAUCAGCUUGUUGGUGGGGUAGUGGCUUACCAAGGCUGUGACGGGUAGCCGGCCUGAGAGGGUGACCGGCCACAUUGGGACUGCGAUACGGCCCAGACUCCUACGGGAGGCAGCAGUGGGGAAUAUUGCACAAUGGGCGGAAGCCUGAUGCAGCAACGCCGCGUGCGGGAUGACGGCCUUCGGGUUGUAAACCGCUUUCGCCUGUGACGAAGCGUGAGUGACGGUAAUGGGUAAAGAAGCACCGGCUAACUACGUG
rnacentral:rRNA from 1 species